rnacentral:rRNA from 1 species
GGAUUAGAUACCCUGGUAGUCCACGCUGUAAACGAUGAUUACUAGGUGUGGGGGGUCUGACCCCUUCCGUGCCGGAGUUAACACAAUAAGUAAUCCACCUGGGGAGUACGGCCGCAAGGUUGAAACUCAAAGGAAUUGACGGGGGCCCGCACAAGCAGUGGAGUAUGUGGUUUAAUUCGAAGCAACGCGAAGAACCUUACCAGGUCUUGACAUCCAACUAACGAAGUAGAGAUACAUUAGGUGCCCUUCGGGGAAAGUUGAGACAGGUGGUGCAUGGUUGUCGUCAGCUCGUGCCG